CAGGGAGAAUUGCCAAAAACUUCAGGAGCUGUAUAUCCAAGACUAUUCACUGAGCAGGGAACUGAUGAUCAAGGAAAGGCUCUUCACAUUUGCUGCCCAGGUGGUAAACCCCCAGACAGCCUGGAGAGGAAGCAGCAGCAGCUCAAAAUGUGCAUAUGGAAAGGACAAGCCCAAGAGAAGAAUUUACAAAUGGAAUGAGGGCAUGCAGGACUUUCCAUCCUCAGGGCUCCUUUAGAGGCUCUGUGAUCAACUUGAAUCAUCCUAGGAUCCUUGUUCACAACCUCUGAUUUCCUUUUCCUGCUUUCAUCUCCAGGGGGAAAAGAUUUGUGCAGCUUUUAAGGCUACAGCUAUACAUCUUCUCUUGAGCAUUACUGCUUUUUGUGAACUAGGAUUUCCUUUACUUCCAUAUAAAAUUUUUUAGUGCAAAAAUUCCCUAGAAGGCCCCCAGCCUCUCAAUCAAGUAUGUCUCCACCUCCCUGGAUAGUCCUGACUAAUCAAGUUAGAUCUGGUUUGUGAGGAUAAUAGAUCACCAUCUUGGCUGGUGAGGACCGCACUCUCAUUUGCUGUCCAAGGAGUCUCUGGGGCCAUGUGGUUUGGAGUUCCAUGGUCUAAGACAGUCACCAGUUACACACUCAGUCAUGUCAUUAAUGGCUUAUCCUAAACGGGCAAUGAGGCUUGAGCCCACAAAGCUUGGUGCCCUUGGGUAUCUGUGUUCUUUUCCAUUUUUAUGUUUUGGCUAUGUCAUGGAGUGUCAAACUUUCUUGUUGGUAGCUCUGAGACAUGAGGUGAAGUCAGGUGGUGUGGAGGGGUCCAGCAGGAAAAUGCCAUCAAACUGGUAGUCUGUAGUCAUGCAUGGGCACAACCUUGCCAAUUGUUCUUCAUUGUGGAUGGUAAACAACACUGCUCUGAGCUCACCCUGAGUACCCAACCCAUGAUUAGAAGCUAAAGAAUUACCAGCUGGCAUUUUGAACAUCAUCCUCUGAGAAACACACUGCAAGAGCAAGUGACAGAUAAAUUGUUUGGAAUUUAUGAUUUAUCCUUUCCUUUGUAAUGGCUGCAAGUGUCAUCAAGACUCACAGAAGGCUAGAUUCUGUGAAGGAGCCUUUUUCAGAAUAGCCAGUAACUGAGUAUAAAUCCUGGUUCUUAGCAGCACAGAUCCUUCCUGAUAUAGCAAAAUCAUUCACAAAAUGACUGAUGAAGGAAAGUUAGUAAGCCAGUAUGUCUCCUUCAAAGAGGAAGAGAAGUGCCAGAUCUCUGGGCUACUAGAAGGCCAGGAGGAAGGCACAGGUGUCUCAAGGCAUACUCCUGCAGGACUGUGAGGCUCCUGAGACCUGAUCAAGUGUAUAGUAACAUUUAAUAAAUCCUUAACUUCUUAUAUGGCAGAGAAGGAACACUUUAUUGCAUCUUUGGGCAUCCCCUGGGCAAAAUUACAGUGAGAGUCACCCAGAAAAGACCCAUGUUUGCAGCAAGGGUCACAUAUCACUCAAACUGUUUUGUUCUGUUUUGGCAUUCUUCUACUCCAAAAGUUUCAAUUAUGUUUUUUUGUUUGCUCAUUGUUGAACUUCUCAUUUUAUUUUUUUCACUUUCUUCCUCAUUUUCUUAAGUUGUUAACCUGUGUUCAUUUGCAGUUUUGUGAGCUGCUUCUGAAUGAUUAUUCUUCUCCUUUUAAAGAGUACCAGAGCAGUUCAGUUUCAUUUUGUGUACUCCACCUUUUGGUCCACCUUAGAGACAACCAACUGAUGCAACUAGUCCAACUGAUCCAAGGGUCUCUUUGUACCCUCUGGAGAUGCAUCACUGAGUAGAGAAUUUCUGUUCAAUAGGUCCAACUCAAUACAUUCCACCUAAUUCAGCUGCAUGUUACUUCCACAAUCAUCCCAAACCCUUAAUGUCCAUUUCUUCAGAGUUUUUCUAGACUUCUCUUUAUGAACUGGAAAAAGAAUGCAGUUAUUUUGGCGUGUAGCACAAUUCUUCAUGGGUUACACUGAUUAUCUCAUGGUUUUGGACUUGCUGGUAGUUGAGUCUGCCUCAGGUGAGUUUUGGUAUAGAAGCCAACAAGGCUGGUGGGUACUUGUCCGAUCAAGAUCAGCAGUGUCUUGCAAGGCAGCUAUCUCAGGGGAGACCAUUACAGGAUCCUCAGGAAAUCAGAGUUAACCUCCUCAGACAGGGGUUGGAGGGAUUCUUCUACUGACAGAACAGACUCUGCACAAUUGUGCAGCUGAAUAUACCAGCUCAAUCAAAAGCUGCCCUCAUGUCCCCAUACUGAUUUUCUGAUCCCCAUCCCAUCUAAACCAAUGUAAUUUCAUUCACUGAUAUGUGAUGGGAAUUCAAUGUGUGUUGUAUUUUAUUCAGUGGCAUAGAUGAGACUCUGUGUGAAGUUUUCAAAAAGCUAAGGUCUGGAAAUACAGGAUUUACUUAAAGAAACAUAUAGAAACUUCAGCUCAAUUAUGGGGUAAUUGAGCUGGGAAUUUGACCCCCCCUGAGUUAAUUUGUUUCUUUUUAAAUUUAAAUUAAGUGCAGUUUGAAGCGAGAUAUUAAUUUCAUUACAUGUGUUUGUCAAAACUGAUCUAAAAUAUUAAAUACAUGGUUGCCAAGAA